rnacentral:lncRNA from 1 species
CAUGUCAUCAGUCCUAGACUAGACUAGACUUUUUAGCGCUCCCAAUACUUCUUUCGCAUUUCCUUCUAAUUUCUUUCUCUCACUUUUUAGCGCUCACUCUCUCUCCCUCCUUCUCCCUUUCUCUCUCUUUCUCUCUAUGUCCGUUGGUGCUCAUCUGCCAUUUCUUUGCUGCCGCCAGCUUUGUCUCCCCCUCUCUAUUUCUCUUGCUCCCCUUUUCUGUUUGUCUCUCUCUC